GCAAACUUGGUCAUUUAGAGGAAGUAAAAGUCGUAACAAGGUCUCCGUAGGUGAACCUGCGGAGGGAUCAUUACCAAGCUCGCGCCCCCUGGGCCGACCUCCCACCCACUGUCAUCUCUACGCCGUUGCUUUGGCGGGCCGCCGGCGCGCGCCCGCCAAAGGCCCCGCAGACCCGGGAUGUCAGCGUCGUCUGAGUGCCAUGACAAUGGUUAAAACUUUCAACAACGGAUCUCUUGGUUCCGGCAUCGAUGAAGAACGCAGC
rnacentral:misc_RNA from 1 species